rnacentral:lncRNA from 1 species
UCAACUCUAACUAAGUAUCCAACUCACUCUACACGGCUCUCCAAAACUGUGAAGUAAACUGAGUACCCCUAUAUGAGAUGAUGGAAACUGGAACACCAUGCAACCGAACAAUCUCCUGGAUAUAAAUCCCUGCGAACCACUCUGCAGAAUAGGUAGUACACAUAGGAAGGAAGUGCGCGGACUUGGUGAGCCGAUCCACAAUCACAAAA